rnacentral:rRNA from 1 species
UGGAGAGUUUGAUCCUGGCUCAGAUUGAACGCUGGCGGCAGGCCUAACACAUGCAAGUCGAGCGGUAACAGAAAGUAGCUUGCUACUUUGCUGACGAGCGGCGGACGGGUGAGUAAUGCUUGGGAACAUGCCUUGAGGUGGGGGACAACAGUUGGAAACGACUGCUAAUACCGCAUAAUGUCUACGGACCAAAGGGGGCUUCGGCUCUCGCCUUUAGAUUGGCCCAAGUGGGAUUAGCUAGUUGGUGAGGUAAUGGCUCACCAAGGCAACGAUCCCUAGCUGGUUUGAGAGGAUGAUCAGCCACACUGGAACUGAGACACGGUCCAGACUCCUACGGGAGGCAGCAGUGGGGAAUAUUGCACAAUGGGCGAAAGCCUGAUGCAGCCAUGCCGCGUGUGUGAAGAAGGCCUUCGGGUUGUAAAGCACUUUCAGUCAGGAGGAAAGGGUGUGAGUUAAUACCUCAYAUCUGUGACGUUACUGACAGAAGAAGCACCGGCUAACUCCGUGCCAGCAGCCGCGGUAAU